rnacentral:rRNA from 1 species
CUACGGGAGGCAGCAGUAGGGAAUCUUCGGCAAUGGGGGCAACCCUGACCGAGCAACGCCGCGUGAGUGAAGAAGGUUUUCGGAUCGUAAAGCUCUGUUGUAAGAGAAGAACGUGUGUGAGAGUGGAAAGUUCACACAGUGACGGUAACUUACCAGAAAGGGACGGCUAACUACGUGCCAGCAGCCGCGGUAAUACGUAGGUCCCGAGCGUUGUCCGGAUUUAUUGGGCGUAAAGCGAGCGCAGGCGGUUUAAUAAGUCUGAAGUUAAAGGCAGUGGCUUAACCAUUGUUCGCUUUGGAAACUGUUAGACUUGAGUGCAGAAGGGGAGAGUGGAAUUCCAUGUGUAGCGGUGAAAUGCGUAGAUAUAUGGAGGAACACCGGUGGCGAAAGCGGCUCUCU